AAUGGCCAUAGCUCAAUGUUAGAACAUCUGCCUAUUAUACAGAAGAUCCCAGGUUCAAUCCCUGUUGUUGUUG